ACCCUAGACUCCAGAGCAUCACCAGCAAAAACUCUGGAGGAUGGCAAGUGAAAUAUCUUUAUGCCCAGUAUCAGAAAUCAAUAAGCAAAUGCUUGUCCUCUAAUAAGAGACAACAAAAAAUGAGCAUAAAAAUGUCAGAAAAAGAAGACUCAACAAAAACAGUUCCACCACCACCAAAUUCCUCUCACAGGGUAUUGAUCAAUGUUACAGUAGAAGACACUUGUCACAUAACAGGAUCAUACCAGGAACUGCAAAGUGAAUUCCUCACCACACAAUGUUCAUUUUGUCUCAAAAGAAAUCACUAUGUUACAAAUGCCUUGUGUUAUAUUUACUGAAUUGAAUUUUAUGUUUAAACCACUUAGAAUUCACAAAGCAAGAAGAUUAAUACUCAGGUGUUGCUAG